UACGAACUGUGCGAACGUUAUUCGGAAUCACUGGGCUUACAGGGUGCGUAGGCGGCUCAACAGGUCAGGUGUGAAAGCCCCCGGCUCAACCGGGGAACUGCGCUUGAAACUGUUAGGCUCGAGUGCCGGAGGGGAGAGUGGAAUUCCUGGUGUAGCGGUGAAAUGCGUAGAUAUCAGGAGGAAUACCGGUGGCGAAAGCGACUCUCUGGACGGCAACUGACGCUGAGGCACGAAAGCGUGGGGAGCAAACAGG
rnacentral:rRNA from 1 species